UACGUAGGGGGCUAGCGUUGUCCGGAUUUACUGGGCGUAAAGGGCGCGUAGGCGGCCACCGCAAGUCGACUGUGAAAUCUCCGGGCUUAACCCGGAAAGGUCAGCCGAUACUGCGGGCUAGAGUGCAGAAGGGGCAACUGGAAUUCUCGGUGUAGCGGUGAAAUGCGUAGAUAUCGAGAGGAACACCUGCGGCGAAGGCGGGUUGCUGGGCUGACACUGACGCUGAGGCGCGAAAGCGUGGGGAGCAAACAGG
rnacentral:rRNA from 1 species